AACGUAGGAGACAAACGUUAUCCGGAGUUACUGGGCGUAAAGGGCGUGUAGGUGGUUUUGUAAGUCUGGCGUGAAAUUUUUCGGCUUAACCGGGAAAGGUCGUCGGAUACUGCAGGACUAGAGGACGGUAGAGGCGUGUGGAAUUCCGGGUGUAGUGGUGAAAUUCGUAGAUAUUCGGAAGAACACCAGUGGCGAAGGCGACUCACUGGACACAUAUUGACGCUGAGGUGCGAAAGCGUGGGGAGCAAACAGG
rnacentral:rRNA from 1 species